rnacentral:misc_RNA from 1 species
AUAAUAAUAAUAAUAAUAAAAUAAGAAAACAGCAAGAGAAAGUGGAGUAUGAUGAGAAUGUUAUUUCUGGAACUUCUCUGCUUGGACGAUCACCUCAGAACACUCCGAGCUUACUGUAGAACCAAUUCAAAAUUUAUUAACACGAAAUUGGGUAAAGCAUAUAUGCCUGUGGAACCAAUUCAUUCAUAAAUAACUAAUGCUUAAGAAAAAAGAAUGAAGAGUUGGAAUAUGCUACGUAAGUAUUUAAUAAUAUGGUAAUAAACUAUUAGAGAUCAUAAAAACCUCCAUGUUACUUCAAUGGAAGUCAAGAAGAAAACUGAAUAAUUGAAAUCUACCAUAUAACCAUUUAAUAAUCUAUAAGGUACUUUCACGUUACUUUAAUUGAAUU